GGCUAUGGGCGCCAUUAUUGCCGAGCUUUUUUCACACCGACCUCUUUUCCCUGGCUCAAGGUACACAUGAUCCUUUUUCUGCUGAACCUCAUUUGGUUCCCCUAUUCUCUUGGUUGCUGUGCCCAAUUUAAUUGAAUUUUUUUAGUUUGGUCCUAAUGGUUGCUGGGAGCUAAAUAUUAGCCAAAGAUGCUGUUGAUUAUAUAUGAAAUAACCAUCAUCGGCCAUUUUAACAAGUAAAACCAUUUUUUUAGUCUAGAAAGCACCCCAUAAUGUGAAAAAAAUGAUGUGGUGAUUCUGUUGUGGUAUGUUCUUCCAAGUAAUUGCUCAAGUGGGGGCAUUUUUGUAACUUUAUUCUUUGUCCCUCAGUGAAGCGGACGAGAUAUACAAAAUCUGUAGCAUUCUUGGCACACCAAAUCAGCAUACUUGGGCUGCAGGACUGCAGCUGGCAGCAUCUAUCCAUUUUCAGUUUCCUCAGGUAGGAUCUUUUGAUACCCUUACUCUCCAGUUCUGAGAUUAUUAGGAGCCAUUGAUGGCUAAAUGCUGUUUCAUAUUCUCAACAGUCUGGAAGCAUAACUCUUUCAGAAGUGGUUCCCACAGCAAGUGAAGAUGCGCUGAACCUUAUUUCGGUAAGUAUCCUAUCAGCAGUUCCAGUCUUCCCUAAAAGUAGUGGUGAAGUGAUCAUGUUCAGAUAAAUGAUUAGCCUCAACUUUUACAUUUGCUGCAGUGGCUUUGCUCAUGGGACCCCCGUAAAAGGCCAACCGCAGUGGAGGUUUUGCAGCAUCCCUUCUUUCAGGUCAUAAUAUUUCCAAUGUCUUUGCAUGCCAGAUUAGAUUAUGCAUUGAUUUGGUUCGUGAACCUGACCAGAAUUGUUUAUGUCACAGCCAUGCUUCUAUAUCCCCCCUUCACUUCGUUUCAGAUCGACCGGAUAUGCAACAACACCACCAUCAGGUUUGUCGAUUUUCUCACAUGCACAUCUGUAUCAUUUUCAUUAGAAUACCAUUGUUGAAGCAAUUCAAAUAAUGGAUUCUGCAGUUGGGGCUAGAGGGGCUAUGGACCAGAAGAAUGCUAGGAGAUACCCUGUGGGGACUUUAACCAACGGGAGACCGGCAGUCAAUAACUCGUACCUGGGCACUAAUAACGUCCCAGCAAGAGCAGCUGGCGUGCAAAGGAAGCUAGAGCUGGAUCAUCAGGUGAAACCAGAGGGCAACCAUAAGCUGACGAAGGAGAACGCGAUGAACCAGCCUUGGUCCCGACUACCACCAGCACCAGUGAGGAACAACGGUGAGUAUUAUUGUUAGUUCCUAAAUCAUGUAGUGCCGUACUUGGAAUGGCGCCUCCGUUUUGUUUGAAGUCCCGGAUUUUGCGCGUCUCUAAUGCACAUGAUUUCCGUUGUGCAGGGAACUACCUCGCUGCAAAGGAGCAGAUCCCUCGCGGCGGCGUGCCUGACAUAGCCGAGAAGCUGUCCCAGCUGUCGAUGGCCUCCACCACCAACCGGGCGCCGAUCAUGUCUUCGGACAGGUUUGCUGACCUGAAGGGCACUACCAGAGCCCACCAACCGGAGCCCGUGAGGCGGCCCGUGCCUCUGGGACCCAGGGACACGUGGCACGCCCGGAACGACCCCUUCCGGCGCACCUACGAGAUGCCCGGCGAGAGGGCUCUCCUCCAGAGGAAGCUCGUCAGCUGAGGACCAUCCCACCAAUGCCCGCCUGCCUGCCUGCCGUCCAUCUGCCCCCUUCGCAUCAUCGACGCCACCACCACCACCACCACCGACCACAAUAAUCCAGCGGCCUCCUUCCCUGGCGGCCGCUGCCAAGUUUGUGUCUCCCUUUAUCGUUCCGUGUUGUGAUGAAAAUAAAAGCCAGUCUCCCCCGGUCCUGGCGUCGCUUGGAGGGGCGGGGAGAGUGAAGAGUAGUGCUGCGUUUCCUUUGGGCUUUCGAGUGUCGGAAACGUGGAUGAUGAUACAUGCUUUGUGAUUUGUGUGCAAAACCAACGAUUGCUCGCGUUUAUGUGACGUUGUGGUUAAACUAAACUUAUUGAUGAUUUCUUUGCUUGCUCGCAACCUCGCAUGGUUAGACAUGUCCAGCAUCUGCCUGAGUGGUGUUACGCGGUUGCUGCUUCGUGUCCGUAUUUUGUUUACUCAUCAUGUGGGUAUUACUCUAUCUGCCAGACAGACGCUGCGAGAGCUGUCCCUGUCAUGGAUGGCGUAUUAUUUUUCCAGUUGCGAGUACCGACGAGGGCGACGGCGACGGCGACG
rnacentral:lncRNA from 1 species